CUGGAAUCAUUAAAUCUGACAGAGGUUAUGCAUAAAUGUGCACGUUGGUCAACACAACCCAAAAGCACCAAGUCGGCCAAUUCUUCUACCUGAGCUUGGAGUAAAUCUAUUCUUUGGUUGGCAGCUAAAAUCCCUGACAAAAUAUGUUGAUUAAUUGAAUUUUGGGACUCAAGUAUGGUAGAAGUUUGUUGAACAACUUGAUUAAUGGUGGCAGCAGUUUGUACUUGACUGGCCAUGGCCACUCCGGCCGUAACCGCUGCAGCAGCAGACACUGCCACAGCUGUCACUAUAGCUGCCAUAAUUCCAAAAUCCCUGCGGACUCUAAGUAGCUCAACAAUGGGGAAUUUAUCUGGGUCUGCAGUGACUGGGAUUGGGACAAAGGUUGGAAUUUUCAUAACCACUGCUACAGUCCAAGAACCAUUCCAACACUCAGAUAAGAGACAGGUAACACUAGAACAAUCCAGCAUCCCC
rnacentral:lncRNA from 1 species